UAAGAUACACACUAAUGAUAAUGGUGCUGAUAUGUUGACGAAGGCCUUACCAAGAGGAAAGUUUAAAGCAUGUUGUUUGACCUCCGGCAUGGAGGCAUUCCCCACAUAGUUGGAGGGGGAGAUUUGUUGGGUAUGGGUCCCACUAUGUGGGAAACCCAUAUUUUCUGCCACAAUGUUUUGCCUUCCUUUUCUUUUGGUUUUGUCAAAAGCCAAUUUUUUGGCUUAUUAACGUGGGAGUGGGCAGAAAUUUCUGCAGAGAGCUAAAAAAAAAAAUAGAGAGAAAGAGAAUAGAAAAAUCAGUUUUUCAAGCUUGGUGCAGCAGUGAUCAACUCUUCGAUCGAAGGUCCAUCCGUGGUUCGAUUGAGCUGAUUUUUGGACAGCAGCUAGGUGAUAAGGUGUUCUUGACUUUGUACGGUCGGAUUUUUCAUCCGAGUCUUGUAGCGUCGGAA
rnacentral:lncRNA from 1 species